AUUGAACGCUGGCGGCAGGCUUGACACAUGCAAGUCGAGCGGAGAUGAGGUGCUUGCACCUUAUCUUAGCGGCGGACGGGUGAGUAAUGCUUAGGAAUCUGCCUGUUAGUGGGGGACAACAUUCCGAAAGGAAUGCUAAUACCGCAUACGCCCUACGGGGGAAAGCAGGGGAUCUUCGGACCUUGCGCUAAUAGAUGAGCCUAAGUCGGAUUAGCUAGUUGGUGGGGGAAAGGCCUACCAAGGCGACAAUCUGUAGCGGGUCUGAGAGGAUGAUCCGCCACACUGGGACUGAGACACGGCCCAGACUCCUACGGGAGGCAGCAGUGGGGAAUAUUGGACAAUGGGCGGAAGCCUGAUCCAGCCAUGCCGCGUGUGUGAAGAAGGCCUUUUGGUUGUAAAGCACUUUAAGCGAGGAGGAGGCUACCUGGAUUAAUACUCUAGGAUAGUGGACGUUACUCGCAGAAUAAGCACCGGCUAACUCUGUGCCAGCAGCCGCAGUAAGAC
rnacentral:rRNA from 1 species